GACGUAGGGUGCGAGCGUUGUCCGGAUUUAUUGGGCGUAAAGAGCUCGUAGGCGGCUCGUCGCGUCGACCGUGAAAACCCGCAGCUUAACUGCGGGCUUGCGGUUGAUACGGGCGGGCUAGAGUUCGGUAGGGGAGACUGGAAUUCCUGGUGCAGCGGUGAAAUGCGCAAAUAUCAGGAGGAACACCGGUGGCGAAGGCGGGUCUCUGGGCCGAUACUGACGCUGAGGAGCGAAAGCGUGGGGAGCGAACAGG
rnacentral:rRNA from 1 species